UUAACAGUAUGAGGUCAUCAGGGCCCAGACUGAGAAAACUGGACUAUGACAAAUUUGCUGUUUAGGGGAGACCCAGAUGGCCCAGAAUUAAAGCAACAGGGUCAUCUGCUGCAAGGACAGCCCGUUGAGCUUUGAAUGUAACCUGAACUGCCAGCUCUGGUCAUUCAUAAUUCUCUCUCCCCAUCAUCUUCUUGAAGCUGUGACUUGGUCCCUAAGGGAGAAGGAAAGCCACAGCAAACUCUAAAUAAACAGCUUCCACAGCCCGAGAUUUCUCCCAGACCCCCUGAUGAAAGGAGCCGGGUUGGAACAGAGGCUGGGAGGAGCCCAGUUAAUAUAUGACAGUCAUUAUCAGAGGGAUUUUGGUGCUGCUGGAAAGCUAUAGCGGACAACACUCAGAAAAUGGACAGAAGGAAAAAUUAGUAGCCUGAAGUGGGCCUAGCUCUUCCUCUUCUCUGUUGCUUUCAUCUGAGAAGGGGAUCAUCGGCUUCGCCAGACUGAUGAAGAGGUCCACGACACCAGAGAGAGAACAAGCUGUUAAACAUUUAUCAACACAUCCCUAUGUAAAAGGCUGUGGAAGCAGUAUGGGGCAAUGAAUAUCAUACUAUCCACCAUGAGUGAUGGGUCUGGUAUCAAAAGAUCCAGAAAGCCAGGCUCCAGGAGCCGAUGUUCUACCUUAAUUGUACCUAUUGGGGACAGGAAAGGAAGAUAAACCAUAUUCUGUCACAUCCACUAGACAAACCACUGCAUUUAAAGUAAGAAGACUUACACAUCCCAUCAGAGGAGAAUGAGGACUACCACUGGAUGGAACCCUUUCCAGAUUUGCCCAGAAGGCUCACAUGGUGACUAAUGAAGGAUGGAAUGGAAAAUCAGUCCCUUGAGACAAGGGGACCUUAUUCAACAGAGGAGUCCUUUCUUUUUUAAUGUUCCAUCCUCAUUUUAUUCAGCUGUACUUUUAAAAAUCUACUCUUAGUGGGUACAGUAAACAUUCUGUUUAUCUGAGAAACAAAAAUAAAAAAAGCUUAAA